AGCGAACGCUGGCGGCAGGCCUAACACAUGCGAGUCGAACGAACCUUUCGGGGUUAGUGGCGGACGGGUGAGUAACACGUGGGAACGUGCCUUUAGGUUCGGAAUAACUCAGGGAAACUUGUGCUAAUACCGAAUGUGCCCUUCGGGGGAAAGAUUAAUCGCCUUUAGAGCGGCCCGCGUCUGAUUAGCUAGUAGGUUGAGGUAAUGGCUCACCAAGGCGACGAUCAGUAGCUGGUCUGAGAGGAUGAUCAGCCACAUUGGGACUGAGACACGGCCCAAACUCCUACGGGAGGCAGCAGUGGGGAAUCUUGCGCAAUGGGCGAAAGCCUGACGCAGCCAUGCCGCGUGAAUGAUGAAGGUCUUAGGAUUGUAAAAUUCUUUCACCGGGGACGAUAAUGACGGUACCCGGAGAAGAAGCCCCGGCUAACUUCGUG
rnacentral:rRNA from 1 species